rnacentral:lncRNA from 1 species
CUCGGCUUAGCUGCAAAACUUCUUCUCUUUCAAAACUCUCCCUUCUCAUUCGGAAAUUUUCUAUCUCCACCGAAAAAUGGGGAUUUCGUUCGCGUCACCGGAUUUGGCUAGGGAUAUCUAUCACCAAUCUUACUCUUCUGUCAAUCCUUCGUUCUUCUUCUUCUAAACAAACUGUCAUACUCAAUUUUUGGGGCUUUUACUCUCCCACAAGAUUUAGUUUACUGUGGGAACAUUACGUACGACGUCCAUCAUCGGCGCAAUCGUGAGUUUUCUUUUAUUGUUUAUAGUUUUUAGUGAGUUCUUAAUUAAGUCUAUUGGCUCUUGAAAUGAAUAAUGUUCGUGAAAUUAGUUUAAACUAUAAAUUAGCAGUAAAGAUUGAUUUUUUUGUUCUUUGUUUGUUUAAGGCUAAUACGCCAGUUUUCGUGGAAAUAAAUGAGCCCAUGAAGUCGCUUGAAAUCGACAGACUGAGAGAAGUCGAUUAAGAACUCUAAAAU